CACCAAAUUAAAUUCCACUAAGGUUCAGGAAGAAAUGGCAAAUUACAUGUUAGGUAUAAGGAGUAAAAAUACCAACAUCUAAUUCAAGUGGGACUAGCGACAGGAGACCUUCUUGGUGCUAAUACCAAAACUGAUAAUGAUAACUUCUGGGUCGUAGAUGGAGUUGCCCAGUGCUAUUACUGUACUGUCAGCCGCUCGCCACCUUCAUCUUUUAC